rnacentral:rRNA from 1 species
UACGUAGGGGGCUAGCGUUGUCCGGAAUCAUUGGGCGUAAAGAGCUCGUAGGCGGUUCGUCGCGUCGGCUGUGAAAACCCGGAGCUCAACUCCGGGCCUGCAGUCGAUACGGGCGGACUUGAGUGUUGCAGGGGAGACUGGAAUUCCUGGUGUAGCGGUGAAAUGCGCAGAUAUCAGGAGGAACACCGGUGGCGAAGGCGGGUCUCUGGGCAACUACUGACGCUGAGGAGCGAAAGCGUGGGGAGCGAACAGG